GACGAACGCUGGCGGCGUGCUUAACACAUGCAAGUCGAACGAAGAGCGAUGGAAGCUUGCUUCUAUCAAUCUUAGUGGCGAGCGGGUGAGUAACGCGUAAUCAACCUGCCCUUCAGAGGGGGACAACAGUUGGAAACGACUGCUAAUACCGCAUACGAUCUAAUCUCGGCAUCGAGGAUAGAUGAAAGGUGGCCUCUACAUGUAAGCUAUCACUGAAGGAGGGGAUUGCGUCUGAUUAGCUAGUUGGAGGGGUAACGGCCCACCAAGGCGAUGAUCAGUAGCCGGUCUGAGAGGAUGAACGGCCACAUUGGGACUGAGACACGGCCCAGACUCCUACGGGAGGCAGCAGUGGGGAAUCUUCCGCAAUGGACGAAAGUCUGACGGAGCAACGCCGCGUGAGCGAUGACGGCCUUCGGGUUGUAAAGCUCUGUUAAUCGGGACGAAAGGCCUUCUUGCGAAUAGUGAGAAGGAUUGACGGUACCGGAAUAGAAAGCCACGGCUAACUACGUG
rnacentral:rRNA from 1 species